rnacentral:tRNA from 2 species
GCCGGCCUAGCUUAAUUGGUAGAGCAACUGACUUGUAAUCAGUAGGUUGGGGGUUCAAGUCCUCUGGCCGGCACCA